CAGUCUGUCGGUCGGUCCGUUCACCAGGUGGUUUCCGGAUGAUUACUCAAGAACGCUUGGGCCUAGGAUCAUGAAACUUCAUAGGUAAUUUGAUCAUGACUCGCAGAUGACCCCUAUUGAUUUUGAGGUCACUAGGUCAAAGGUCAAGGUCACGGUGACCCGAAAUAGUAAAAUGGUUUCCAAAUGAUAACUCAAGAACGCUUAUGCCUAGGAUCAUGAAACUUGAUAGGUAGAUUGAUCAUGAUUCGCAGUUGACCCCUUUUGAUUUUCAGGUCACUAUAUCAAAGGUCAAGGUCACGGUGACCUCAAAUAGUAAAAUGGUUUCCGGAUGAUAACUCAAGAACGCUAAUGGCUACGAUCAUGAAACUUCAUAGGUAUAUUGAUCAUGACUCGCAGAUGACCCCUAUUGAUUUUGAGGUCACUAGGUCAAGGUCAUGGUGACCCGAAAUAGUAAAAUGGUUUCCGGAUGAUAACUCAAGAACGCUUAUGCCUAGGAUCAUGAAACUUCAUAGGUACAUUGAUCAUGACUCGCAGAUGACCCCUAUUGAUUUUGAGGUCACUAGGUCAAAGGUCAAGUUCACGG